rnacentral:rRNA from 1 species
AGGGAAGAGUGUGAGCCAUGCGUCAAGAAAAGCCGCUAUUGUUUGUAUCGCGCCCGUACCGUAAACCGACACAGGUGGAUGAGGAGAGAAUCCUAAGGCCGCCGGGAGAAGCAUUGUUAAGGAACUCGGCAAAAUGACUCCGUAACUUCGGGAGAAGGAGUGCCACUGAGAGGUGGCCGCAGAGAAUUGGCCCAAGCAACUGUUUAGCAAAAACACAGGUCUAUGCAAAACCGAAAGGUGAAGUAUAUGGGCUGACGCCUGCCCGGUGCUGGAAGGUUAAGGGGAGAGGUUAGCGGAAACGCGAAGCUUUGAACUUAAGCCCCAGUAAACGGCGGCCGUAACUAUAACGGUCCUAAGGUAGCGAAAUUCCUUGUCGGGUAAGUUCCGACCCGCACGAAAGGCGUAAUGAUUUGGGCACUGUCUCAACAAUGCACCCGGUGAAAUUGAAAUACCAGUGAAGAUGCUGGUUACCUGCGCCAGGACGGAAAGACCCCAUGGAGCUUUACUCCAGCUUGAUACUGGGAUUCGGUAUUGCAUGUACAGGAUAGGUGGGAGGCUAAGAAGCGGUAACGCCAGUUGCCGUGGAGCUGCUGUUGGGAUACCACCCUUGCAGUACUGGGUUUCUAACCAGCGGCCUUUAUCAGGUCGGGGGACAAUGUCAGGUGGGGAGUUUGACUGGGGCGGUCGCCUCCGAAAGGGUAUCGGAGGCGCUCAAAGGUUCCCUCAGAAUGGUCGGAAACCAUUCGAAGAGUGCAAAGGCAGAAGGGAGCUUGACUGCGACACCGACGGGUGGAGCAGGUACGAAAGUAGGACUUAGUGAUCCGGUGGUAUAAAGUGGGAUUGCCAUCGCUCAACGGAUAAAAGCUACCCUGGGGAUAACAGGCUUAUCACUCCCAAGAGUUCACAUCGACGGAGUGGUUUGGCACCUCGAUGUCGGCUCAUCGCAUCCUGGGGCUGAAGUAGGUCCCAAGGGUUGGGCUGUUCGCCCAUUAAAGCGGUACGCGAGCUGGGUUCAGAACGUCGUGAGACAGU